rnacentral:ncRNA from 2 species
CACGUGCUCCGGGGUCGGUGAAAAUCCGAACCGGCGGUGACAGUCCGCGAACCGUCUUCUCAGGGGAACAAUCCCCGGCAGGGGCGGCCGAACCGGUGGAAAUCCGGUACCGACGGUGAAAGUCCGGAUGGGAGGCAGCACGGG